AUGAGUUCCUAGAAUUAAGGAGGUAAUGACAAAUAGGAAAAGUCCCUACCUAAAAUUUAGACAUGUGUAACUUUAAAAAGCGAUACAUUAUAUUGUUUGACAACGCUAUAACACCGUUUAAAAGCGAUAAAUUAUAAUUUUUCGCUACAAUAAAACACUGUUUGGAACCCCUAUUGGUAUAAAAGGAAAUUAACUACUUAAGACAUAAAAAAGGAAGAUAGCUACACGGAAAAAAAAAAAGGAGAAAGAGAGACCGAGAGACAAAGAAAUAGAGAGGUAGAGAACGCAGAAGGAGAGAGAGAUCGAGAGAUCAAAAACUGCAUGCUCUAAAAAUUGAAACCCAAAACACACAAUCAUCCAUUCUUUCCAUUUGUUAACACAAACGGCCAAAAGAAAAGAUUUUCCCUGCCGAUGAAAAAGAAAAAACAGAAGACCAUUGACAUAUUUCCACGGUUUGCAAUCAAGAAUGAAAAGAAGUCUCUCACUUUCCUGUCAGAUUUCUUCAUCUAACUGUCCAUUAAUUUCUUUCACCGUUUGACAUUCUCAUUUGCACGCCCUCAAGUUCAACCAGAUUUCGGAAUCGGAAUGAUUGUGUUAGUGAAAUAAGCUGCAUCACUUCCCAAUGAAAACUUCAAAGUCACUGUAACUGAGACCUGCUCUUCCACCCUGUUUCGUUUCUUCUCUGUAACUCCAUACACACAUGGUCAGAAUAGCGUGGUUAAUUUCCCUCUUUCGGAUACUCUCUCUGAUGAUUUGGCCCACUUUUUAACUGUUUGCAUGUUCUGUUCCAGACCAACAAAUAGAGGAAAAAAGAAAAUCC